UCCGCAAUGGACGAAAGUCUGACGGAGCAACGCCGCGUGAGUGAUGACGGCCUUCGGGUUGUAAAGCUCUGUUAAUCGGGACGAAAGGCCUUCUUGCGAAUAGUGAGAAGGAUUGACGGUACCGGAAUAGAAAGCCACGGCUAACUACGUGCCAGCAGCCGCGGUAAUACGUAGGUGGCAAGCGUUGUCCGGAAUUAUUGGGCGUAAAGCGCGCGCAGGCGGAUAGGUCAGUCUGUCUUAAAAGUUCGGGGCUUAACCCCGUGAUGGGAUGGAAACUGCCAAUCUAGAGUAUCGGAGAGGAAAGUGGAAUUCCUAGUGUAGCGGUGAAAUGCGUAGAUAUUAGGAAGAACACCAGUGGCGAAGGCGACUUUCUGGACGAAAACUGACGCUGAGGCGCGAAAGCCAGGGGAGCGAACGGGAUUAGAUACCCCGGUAGUCCUGGCCGUAAACGAUGGGUACUAGGUGUAGGAGGUAUCGACCCCUUCUGUGCCGGAGUUAACGCAAUAAGUACCCGCCUGGGGAGUACGACCGCAAGGUUGAAACUCAAAGGAAUUGACGGGGGCCCGCACAAGCGGUGGAGUAUGUGGUUUAAUUCGA
rnacentral:rRNA from 1 species